GGACGUGUGGCUCAGUGGUAGAGCGUCUCCGUUAUAUGCUUAGAGGAGUCGAGCUCGCUCACUUCUUUCAAACUAUACACCGCUUGCGGUAAUGAGGUUCUGAGCAGACAAUGAGAGGAAGCGUGGGUUCGAUUCCCACCAUGUCCA
rnacentral:tRNA from 1 species